rnacentral:rRNA from 1 species
UACGGAGGGGGCUAGCGUUGUUCGGAAUUACUGGGCGUAAAGCGCACGUAGGCGGCUUUGUAAGUUAGAGGUGAAAGCCCGGGGCUCAACUCCGGAAUUGCCUUUAAGACUGCAUUGCUAGAAUUGUGGAGAGGUGAGUGGAAUUCCGAGUGUAGAGGUGAAAUGCGUAGAGAUGCGGCGGAACACCGAUGGCGAAGGCAGCCCCCUGGGCUGAGAUUGACGCUCAGGCACGAAAGCGUGGGGAGCAAACAGG